AUGGCGACUGUUGCUGCAAAGCUGGGCGUUCUAAUGGCUUGUGCAUUGCUGCUCCUCGCCGUCGGGUGCCAGGCCAGCCCUUUCUGGCCACUGGAGGUCGGGUUCUACCACGACAAGUGCCCCCAAGCGGAGGCCGUUGUCAAGGGCGUCAUGGAGAAGGCCAUCUCCCAGAACCCCGGCAAUGGCGCCGCCAUGAUCCGCAUGCUCUUCCACGACUGUUUCGUCGAGGUACUGCAAGAAACGAAUUUGCAAACGUAUACUAUAUACAGCCGAUUGGUCAGGCUUGAUUAA
rnacentral:rRNA from 1 species